rnacentral:lncRNA from 1 species
ACAUUUGUGUUAUCCGAUCCAGUUGCGAUGAUCGCAAUUUUGCGCUAGCAACGCCGUUGUUUUUUUUUAAUUCAUAUUUUUUUUUAUAUACAUAUAUUUAGAUCUGCACAUUUUUUUUCAUAACUAACUACCCUGAUUUUUCCUAAACCCUGACAAUUUCGCCACAAACUCUAAAUUUCAAACCUAAAACUUUAACCGUGUUGUUUCCUCUAAACCAUAAACCUUUUCUUAAACCUUAACAAACCUUAUUAUUAUUUCCUAUUUUCGCUCAUAUUUAUGUUAUUCAUACACUGUAACUGCUUCGCCCUUGUAAUAUUUUAAGUUUUAACUUGUAAUAUUUUCAGUUUUACUUUUCGCCAUCUUUAUUAUGUAACUGCACCAAAGCGUUG